UACGUAUGGAGCAAGCGUUAUCCGGAUUUACUGGGUGUAAAGGGAGUGUAGGUGGCCAUGCAAGUCAGAAGUGAAAAUCCGGGGCUCAACCCUGGAACUGCUUUUGAAACUGUGAGGCUGGAGUGCAGGAGGGGUGAGUGGAAUUCCUAGUGUAGCGGUGAAAUGCGUAGAUAUUAGGAGGAACACCAGUGGCGAAGGCGGCUCACUGGACUGUAACUGACACUGAGGCUCGAAAGCGUGGGGAGCAAACAGG
rnacentral:rRNA from 1 species